AUGCCCCCUUUUCUACUAGUGAAUAUUGACAAUGAAGCACUAUCAGAUAGAUACUUGGGACUCCCGACACUAGUGGGGAUUGACAGAAGUGAUUCCUUUAAACAUCUCGUUGAAAGAAUUAUACAAAGGAAGAAUGGGUGGAAAGAAAAGAAUUUAUCAAUUGCUGGUAAGGAAACUUUGUUGAACGCUAUAGCUCAAGCUAUCCCUGUGUAUGCAAUGGGAGUGCUCAACAUUCCAUAAGGUAUUUGCAAGGAUAUGGACGAUGCAGUAGCAAAGUUCUGGUGGGGAGACAAUGAAAAUGAUUAAAAAAUGCAUUGGUUUGCUUGGUGGAAACUUUGCUUCCCCAAAACCCAAGGAGGGCCAGCCUUCCUUGAUUUCCAUUCUUGAAGUAUGGCGUUUGAUAGAAAAACCUGA
rnacentral:rRNA from 1 species